UAUGUUUUGGAAAAGCGUUCCAAA
rnacentral:siRNA from 1 species